UACUAAUCGGGCCUUUGAUUUUAUCCUGCUUCCAGCUGGAGCCACAAUCAAGAACAGUGUGCCAUUUCUUCAGAGCAGUGUGUUGUGACCGUUGGCUCCCGUGUGCAUGCGUGGGAGUGAUGUCAUCGCGGCUCCCACCAGUCACAGAGCCGGAGUCGUGAACCCGGAAGGAAGACCGGGUAUAGGUGGAUGCCGUUUUCAGAAGACGUCAACAUACGGCGAAACACGUAGCAUGAGCGACGUGCUGACGUCACUGCAAUCAUGUAAUCCCUGGAAGGAAUGGUUUCUGUUUAUGUGAUGGCUGGUGCUUUUGUUUUUAAGGUGAUUUAGACACUGACACAAUGUAAGUGUAACCUUUAAAGACGUUUACAAUAAAGUAAUAACAAUUGUA